ensembl:lincRNA
CCCAUUUGGAAUUCAAGCCCUUUCAUUUGAUACAGAAUUAAAAAAACAGACGUCUGCCAGUAGCCAUCGGUUGGGAUGAGUUUCAGUGUCAUCUCCCGGAGCAGCAGGCGGUGGCUGGGACGGCAGCACAGAGAGACAGCCCGGCACAGGCUCCGCUCAGAGCCUCAGGAUGUGGGGAGGCUUCUACAGAUGACCAGCUUGGUGGCGUCAUCGUCCCCACCUGGAGGUGUUUCUGGGCUGGAACAGAGACACACCCCAAGACAUCCCAAGUUCCUCUCUAAGGAACAAUCUCCAGUUCCUUGGCAGGUUGCUAAUAAAUAUUUCCAGUAG